UCUCAUGGCUAAAAUUAAACUAUAGCCACAUUGACUGAGGUCAAUCAUGAUAUUGAAGCUCAUCCAACACAAAUAUCCACCAACACUGUACAAUGAUGAUCUGACAAAAAGUCUCUCAUCUUGUGUCACGGAAAAUUUUGUAAAAUGUUCAAGUAGUUGCAAGGCCAACAGGUUAAUGGGAGUGAAGCUUAAAAAAAAAAACAACAGCAACAAUGACAACUACAGUAAGGAAAAAAGUUGAAGGCUACACAGAAGUCCAUUGAUAUCACUGUUCUAUUUCCACUGCUGUCAUCAAACUUUUCAAGGCUAUCCUUAACACCAUCAUAUUCAACAACCACAUCAGGUUCUUGAUGUGCAGUCUUGCUUGAACCGUACAUGUCAGAUGACCACGAUUUCGGGCUAGAUUUCUUGUUGUUUUCGCUGUCUGGAACUGUAGGGUGUCUCAUAUUUGGACAGUCGAGAAGCAAUUGCAGAAUCUACAGAAGUCUGUCUGUCUGGAAAACCAGCUCCAAUCUUUGAUUUCGGAGCCGCUUCGGGACGAUUUGUUCGAGGUUUAUCACUUAGUCGCGGUGAAGAUCUUGAUUGAGAGAGUUCCCUACUUGAAAC